rnacentral:rRNA from 1 species
GAGGGCAAGUCUGGUGCCAGCAGCCGCGGUAAUUCCAGCUCCAAUAGCGUAUAUUAAAGUUGUUGCAGUUAAAAAGCUCGUAGUUGGAUUUCUGUUAAUAAUUUAUAUAAAAUAUUUUGAUGAAUAUUUAUAUAAUAUUAACAUAAUUCAUAUUACUAUAUAUUUUAGUAUAUGAAAUUUUACUUUGAGAAAAUUAGAGUGCUUAAAGCAGGCAUAUGCCUUGAAUACUYCAGCAUGGAAUAAUAUUAAAGAUUUUUAUCUUUCUUAUUGGUUCUAAGAUAAGAAUAAUGAUUAAUAGGGACAGUUGGGGGCAUUUGUAUUUAACAGUCAGAGGUGAAAUUCUUAGAUUUGUUAAAGACAAACUAAUGCGAAAGCAUUUGCCAAGGAUGUUUUCAUUAAUCAAGAACGAAAGUUAGGGCAUCGAAGACGAUCAGAUACCGUCGUAGUCUUAACCAUAAACUAUGCCAACUAGAGAUUGGAGGUUGUUCCUUACUCCUUC